rnacentral:lncRNA from 1 species
AAAAAUUGGCCUUAUACUGAACACCAAAUCCCUAAAAUUACAGAUAAUUUGUAAACAUUAAAAGCAAUUGCGCACGCACGCAGCCCCUUUCUCUCAACAGCACGCACGCCGCCAGCACACUUAGCCCAUGCAGCAGCAACCGAGCACGGUAGCAACAGGCCACCAGCAGUCGCUCUCUCUCUCACGCACACGCAGCAGCAAGCCAACACCAAUAGCCCCUCUUUCUCAUGCUCACUCUCUACUAUGACGAAGUCAACACUAUAGCCCUCUUACGUACUCAAGAAAACUCUAACCCAUAUCCAAACCCUCGCCGUCGAAGAAAACCCAAUCCUUAAUGGCUUGAAAUUAAAGCCUCCGCCGUCAAUCACCAUCGAACCAAAUAAACCCUAGCCUUACCAUCACUCUUCAUUUGACUCGCUGAAGAAAGCACUCUAUUAGGUAAGUCUCUGUUGUUUGAUAAUAUAUCUGCACUCUUUGUUGGCCGAAGCUUUUAGACAAUUGCUUUGAUUCAAUUGCUUCGAUUGGUUAGUUCUCUGUGAUUAAUUAGUUAGUUACUUUUAAUUUCAUAUUUUCAUCUCUAACAGUGAAUUUGGGAGUCGUUUUCUCUAUCGGAUUUGUAAUUUUUGCUACGGAUCAAAAACAUCUUGAAGGUGUUUUCAUAUCUAACAACUUGAACUAUCAUUUAUUUUGUCCUAUUAAUGUUCAAUUUUUUUUUUCUUUUUUAUUAGUAUGACAAUUAGUCGAAUGUCCUUGCACAUAAAACAAUCUUUUAACUUGGCGUUGGAAUAUUUGUUUUGAGUUGUGUCCCCUUAAUCAGUGACCAUACAAAAGUUCCCCAUGAUAAAGUGUUUAGCCCUAUUAAUGCCAUAAAGUCUUGCUCUCAAUUUUUCUGAUUAUGCCUAUGGAUUGAUUACCUAUUUCAUUUACAAAUUCAAUUGGCAAAUGUACAAUGCCUGCAUGACACUCACAUUUGGGUUAUAAUGGUAGUCAUUAUGAGGAAGAAGGUUAGAAUAACAUCAGGGGAAACAUCUGGGAGAAGGUAUGUACUGUCAAGCUCUUUGUUAGAAUCAUCACGAAAUUUAUAUUGGAUCGUGGCUGUUCUAUGUGAUGCAUUUUGGAUUUGCUCUUGCUAGACAUGCAAAAACUUGUAAAAUGUAUUUUUUUUUUCCCAUUUUAGAUUUACUAUCUAGUAUCUUGUAGGUUUAAUCUAAAAUAGAAACCAUUCAGGAUACUGGACACAAUUCUAAUGAAGAGAAAAGAUGUUAGACUUUAGUAUUCAACCUUUUUUUUUUAGCCAUAUUUCUAGACCCCAAGUUUAUGUCAUGAUAAUUGUGUGAUUGAUAAGAUAUUUUGGUUUUAGACUGUAUCUCAUGGAUUUAGAGUUCGAUUAUAUUUGGAAGUGGAAUAAUGCAUUCAUUUACAUAUGAUGUUUGAUGAAGUUCCCAUAAAAUUAAUUCAAUUAUAUAUGCUUAUGGUUCUAAGGAAGCGGGGCAAAAAUUUUAUCAGUGGGUUGAUUUCACUAGUUCAAGUUAGUAAAGCAAAGAAAUUGUCUUUAUGCACUUUAACUUUCCUCCAUUUAAGUUAAAAAAAUUAUUGAAGCUUUUGGAAGUGAAUUGUUCAUUUUGUUUGUGCACUUAUGCAGAUGGAUUUACUUUUGGCUGCUUAACCCUUCCUCACUUAUAUUUUUUCAGUUUAAAUUGCAGUGUUUUACUGCUGUGCAACAGCACAAGAGGUUGUUUUAUUGUUGUUUCUAUAAAAACACAGCACCAGGAAGCGUCCAGGUAAUGUUUCGCUGCUGUUAUGCAGUAAAAACAACACCUGAAAGUUUCUAGGUGCUAUUUUUACUGCUGUUUACGCAGAAACACAGCACCUAAAAGUGUCUCUAAGUUCUGUUUAGCUGCUAUUAUGCAGCAAAAACAGCACUUGGAAACUUCCAAGUGCUGUUUUUAUUGCAUUUUAUGCAGAAACAAAGCACCUAGAAGCAUUCAAGGGUUGCUUUACUGUUGUUUUGUAUUUAAAAUUGGUCUUAGAAAUUUUGGGUGCUAUUUCGCUGAAAUUUUGCUACUAACAGUGCAGCUUAAUAAUUUCAUAUGUCGUUUUGAACCUUCUUCAGUUCUUUUCUCUUAUGUCUAUACUUAAUCUUUUCCCCCCUUGGUAAUAAGCAGGUACAAUUUUUGCAAGGUAAUAUCUAAGCAUGCUGUUAAUUCUUUGGUUGAGACGUAGUAUUCUAAACUUCAGGCCUUAAUUUUUUUAUUUCCAAGUGUAUAAUGGGUAGGUACUGGAUCUCUUAUGGAUGAUGUAGUUAAUGCUUUUUUAUUGUCUCUAUUUUGGCAAAUGUGUUGUCAUUUAUUAUCUGAACACAUGGUUGAUUAACUUACUUGAGGUAAGUCUAUUAAUUAAUAGUGAUAUGGUACUUUAAAGUCUUGUUUUACAACUUAAGUCACUAAAGUGAUUUAAUAUUUAUGAUUUAUAAUAUAUGAAUAUAUCUUAAUUUCUCUUUAUUCUUUGUAAGAAUGAUGUAGAUUGCUGAAGCUGGUGAGAUUCAUUUGCAAUUAAAGACUUGAUGAGAAAUUAGAUGUACUCACACAUGCCAAUCUUGUUGGUUGCUAGUGCAUUCACUAGUAGAAGUUUAAUGAUUGUUGGAGAUUUUUGUAGAGCUAUCUCUUUGUAUAUGAAACAUUUGCAUCAUUUUGUAUAUGAAACAUUUGAGAAAAAUAAUUGUAAAGAAUUUAAUAUGAAAUUAGAAUUAAAAUAGGAGCUUGAAAUAGCCUUAAAUUUGCCA